rnacentral:rRNA from 1 species
UACGUAGGGUGCGAGCGUUGUCCGGAAUUAUUGGGCGUAAAGAGCUCGUAGGCGGUCUGUCGCGUCUGCUGUGAAAACCCGAGGCUCAACCUCGGGCUUGCAGUGGGUACGGGCAGACUAGAGUGAUGUAGGGGAGACUGGAAUUCCUGGUGUAGCGGUGAAAUGCGCAGAUAUCAGGAGGAACACCGAUGGCGAAGGCAGGUCUCUGGGCAUUAACUGACGCUGAGGAGCGAAAGCAUGGGGAGCGAACAGG